AUUUUUUUUCUUAAAAAUGACAAUAAUAUUUUUCACAGAAUAGUAUAUUGUUUAACAAGUGCGACAACGUCGCACGAGUUGCACAUACUAUUUUGUAUUACAAAUGCGG